GUAGGUGGCAAGCGUUGUCCGGAAUUAUUGGGCGUAAAGCGCGCGCAGGGCGGUCCUUUAAGUCUGAUGUGAAAGCCCGCGGCUCAACCGUGGAGGGUCAUUGGAAACUGGGGGACUUGAGUACAGAAGAGGAAAGCGGAAUUCCAAGUGUAGCGGUGAAAUGCGUAGAGAUUUGGAGGAACACCAGUGGCGAAGGCGGCUUUCUGGUCUGUAACUGACGCUGAGGCGCGAAAGCGUGGGGAGCAAACAGGAUUAGAUACCCUGGUAGUCCACGCCGUAAACGAUGAGUGCUAAGUGUUAGGGGGUUUCCGCCCCUUAGUGCUGCAGCUAACGCAUUAAGCACUCCGCCUGGGGAGUACGGCCGCAAGGCUG
rnacentral:rRNA from 1 species